rnacentral:pre_miRNA from 9 species
UCUCGUUAGCGUAAAAGUUAACUCAAAUUUGUAUGAAGUUGAAAUGUUUGUCUACGUUCGCCGCUUGGGGCGCUGUUCCAACUGCAUACCAAUUUGAGUUAAUAUUGACGUUAUCGA